UGCCCGCACAAGCUGAGAUGCUUGUAGUGUUCGUGCUAAGCCCAAUAAGCUUAGGGGCCGUGUAAACGGCUACGGCGGCCAAACGCGCUAAGGCGUCAGCUAUGCGCUAGUAGGUCUGAAAAGUGCCACAGUGACGAAACGAUCAGGGAAACCUGAGCGGUGGAACGGGUAAACCCCGCGAGCGAGUAACCCAAACUUUUGGUAGGGGCGUUUUGCCAAGCAAAUUGAAGCGACGGCAAUACAGCGGUAACGCUGAGAUAGA
rnacentral:RNase_P_RNA from 1 species